AUUGAACGCUGGCGGCAGGCCUAACACAUGCAAGUCGAGCGGAUGAAGGGAGCUUGCUCCUGUAUUCAGCGGCGGACGGGUGAGUAAUGCCUAGGAAUCUGCCUUAUCUUUGGGGCUAACGUCCGGACACGGGCGCUUAUCUCGCAUCCGUCCAGAGUUUGAACGUGGGGGAUCUUCGGACCUCGCCCUUCCUGCUGAGCCUAGGUCGGAUUAGCUAGUUGGUUGGGUAAGGGCCUACCAAGGCGACGAUCCGUAACUGGUCUGAGAGGAUGAUCUGUCACACUGGAACUGAGACACGGUCCAGACUCCUACGGGAGGCAGCAGUGGGGAAUAUUGGACAAUGGGCGAAAGCCUGAUCCAGCCAUGCCGCGUGUGUGAAGAAGGUCUUCGGAUUGUAAAGCACUUUAAGUAGGGAGGAAGGGCAGUAAGUUAAUACCUGGACGUUUUGACGGUACCAACAGAGAAAGCACCGGCUAACUUCGUG
rnacentral:rRNA from 1 species